UACGAGGGGGGCGAGCGUUGUUCGAAAUUAUUGGGCGUAAAGGGUGCGUAGGCGGUUUGGUAAGUCUUAUGUGAAAUCUAUGGGCUCAACUCAUAGACUGCAUGAGAAACUGCCGGGCUUGAGUAUGGGAGAGGUGAGUGGAAUUCCUGGUGUAGCGGUGAAAUGCGUAGAUAUCAGGAGGAACACCUGUGGCGAAAGCGGCUCACUGGACCAUAACUGACGCUGAUGCACGAAAGCUAGGGGAGCAAACAGG
rnacentral:rRNA from 1 species